rnacentral:rRNA from 1 species
ACUCAAAUGAAUUGACGGGGACCCGCACAAGCAGUGGAGUAUGUGGUUUAAUUCGAAGCAACGCGAAGAACCUUACCAGGUCUUGACAUCCCUUUGACCGGUCUGGAGACAGGCCUUCCCUUCGGGGCAAAGGAGACAGGUGGUGCAUGGUUGUCGUCAGCUCGUGUCGUGAGAUGUUGGGUUAAGUCCCGCAACGAGCGCAACCCUUGAUUUUAGUUGCCAGCACUUCGGGUGGGCACUCUAGAAUGACUGCCGGUGACAAACCGGAGGAAGGCGGGGAUGACGUCAAAUCAUCAUGCCCCUUAUGACCUGGGCUACACACGUACUACAAUGGCCGGUACAACGGGCUGCGAAAGAGCGAUCUGGAGCGAAUCCUAUAAAGCCGGUCUCAGUUCGGAUUGCAGGCUGCAACUCGCCUGCAUGAAGUCGGAAUUGCUAGUAAUCGCGGAUCAGCAUGCCGCGGUGAAUACGUUCCCGGGUCUUGCACACACCGCCCGU